GCUAUUUCAGCAUUGGGAGGAACAACAGCCCAGACACUGAAGAAGGAACCUAAGUCAGAGAUCUUGUGUUUAGGAGGCAACAAGAAGGUUGACAGAAGACCAAGCAGGAAGUGGAUAACUAGCUAUGCAGCCCAAGAAAGUCAGGCACAAACUUACAGAGACAAAUAAGGAAGAGUGGAGACAACAGCAACAAAACUUUGGAAGCUGGGAGAAGAUAUGAGAAAGCUAAAUUCUAACCCAGCUGUGAGAAAAGUUGAGAGGGAGCCUGAUUUGUGGGGAAAUUUUUCAAAUAAAAAUCCAGGAAUGGGCAUCAUCAGGUACCUCUGGAAGUUCUGUUGCAGGUAAGGUUGCUUAAGAAGGAGCUGGACCUCCAGAUCCCUUCCCCUACUCCACGCAGCAGGUCAGCUACCCCCGCAGCAGAUGACUGGAGAGAAUUAUUUCCUGGAAACAGACAUGCAGAGUGUACACUCCAAAAAACAGGUGGAUUCAAUUUACAUACUGAGUGCUAGGAUUUCCAGUAUUUCUUGCCCUUUUCUGGAACACUGGUAAACACACACACACACACACACACACGAUUGAAGUCUUCUCUAGGAAAUUUGACCAGCAUAAGAGAAAGAUCUGAAAAUACUCUGAGGGUUCCUUCUGGAAGAGCAAGGCCAGGUCACCAUACAGUGAAGUCCUUGGUGAAUAAAAACUACAUGCAUUCACCUAUCAGCUUUUAGUCUGCAUUCCUAGUGAGAGCACCCAGACAAGGAUGACCAGGAUCUGAUUCUAACAUGAGAGAGACUGAAACAAGUAAGCAGUGGGAGAAAACAGAGGCUUUGGGAGACAGUAAAACUUAAAAACUAUUGUUAAUACACUCAGAGACAAGCUACUGUAUGUAUAAGAUAAGAAAAGGAUGAUAUUUUAGAAAAAAUAUUAUUUGGGGGGUAAAGCACCCUUAGAAAUUAAAAAUAGAAUUAUGGAAAUAAAAAAUACAAUAGAUGAGUUGGGGGAUAAAUUAGAGGAAGUCUUCCAAAAGUGGUACAAAAAUGGAAAGUAGAGGAUAAAAGAAGGAAAGCCAGAGCAUAUGACUGGGAAGUCAAACACCUGUCUGAUAGGAGUUGCUCAGAGAGAACAGAGAGAAAAUGGAGAAGAGAAAAUCACCAGUGAAAUAACUCAGUACUUCCCCAAACACAAGGCUGUGAGCUUUUCGAUCAAAAUAAACCCAGCACCAGAGCUAAUAACAAACCUACACUAAGGUACCUCAUUGUGAAAUUUCAGAACUCUGGAGAUAAAAAAAUAUACCAAGGGCUUCUAGAAAGAGGAGAUUUCAUAAGAAGAAUCAAGAUGCAGAACAGUAUGACAUUUCUCAACAGUGAUGCUGGAAGCUAGAAGACAAUGAAUUAAAGCCUUCAAAAUUCUGAGGAAAAAUUGUUUCCAACCUAGACUUCUUAUCUGGACAAAUAAUAAAUUAAAUGUAAAGGUAGAAUAAAGACAUUCUCAGAUGU